UGCUUGUCUCCUUUCUGAUCUUGGCUCUCAGCUUCAUGAGAGUUGUGAGAGAGGAGCUGGUGGUCACUGUUUGCUUCUGAUACCACAGAGGUUAUAACUGGCAUGUUGGCUACAGACUCUUUCUCUGCUGCACUUAGAGAGUCAUCAUCAGGAUUGAAGUUCAGAGUCUGACCUUCACUGUGGUCACUUUCCUCAUAAGUAGGAGUCAACA